GACGAACGCUGGCGGCGUGCUUAACACAUGCAAAUCGAACGGAAAGGCCCUGCUUUUGUGGGGUGCUCGAGUGGCGAACGGGUGAGUAACACGUGAGUAACCUGCCCUUGACUUUGGGAUAACUUCAGGAAACUGGGGCUAAUACCGGAUAGGAGCUCCUGCUGCAUGGUGGGGGUUGGAAAGUUUCGGCGGUUGGGGAUGGACUCGCGGCUUAUCAGCUUGUUGGUGGGGUAGUGGCUUACCAAGGCUUUGACGGGUAGCCGGCCUGAGAGGGUGACCGGCCACAUUGGGACUGAGAUACGGCCCAGACUCCUACGGGAGGCAGCAGUGGGGAAUAUUGCACAAUGGGCGGAAGCCUGAUGCAGCAACGCCGCGUGCGGGAUGACGGCCUUCGGGUGGUAAACCGCUUUCGCCUGUGACGAAGCGUGAGUGACGGUAAUGGGUAAAGAAGCACCGGCUAACUACGU
rnacentral:rRNA from 1 species